GAUGAACGCUAGCGGCAGGCCUAAUACAUGCAAGUCGGACGGGAUUGAGAAGCUUGCUUUUCAUGAGAGUGGCGCACGGGUGCGUAACACGUAUGUAACCUACCUUAAUCAGGGGGAUAGCCUCUCGAAAGAGAGAUUAACACCGCAUAAAAUCAAUUUAUGGCAUCAUAGAAUGAUCAAAUAUUUAUAGGAUUAAGAUGGGCAUGCGGAACAUUAGCUAGUUGGUAAGGUAACGGCUUACCAAGGCUACGAUGUUUAGGGGAUCUGAGAGGAUACCCCCCCACACGGGGAAGGGCACCCGACCCACACUCCUCGGGGAGGAAGCAGUAAGGAAUAUUGGACAAUGGGCGCAACUCUGAACCACCCAUGCCGCGGGCAGGAAAACGCCCCUACGGGUUUUAAACUGCUUUUGUACGGAAAAAAACCUUUGUAUGUCUACGAAGCUGAAUUUACGGUAAGAAUAAGGAUCGGCUAACUCCGUGCCAGCAGCCGCCGUAA
rnacentral:rRNA from 1 species